rnacentral:rRNA from 1 species
CAGCAGCCGCGGUAAUACGUAGGGUCCAAGCGUUGUCCGGAUUUAUUGGGCGUAAAGAGCUCGUAGGUGGUUCAGUAAGUCGGAUGUGAAAACUCGGGGCUCAACCCCGAGACGCCAUCCGAUACUGCUGUGACUUGAGUCUGGUAGGGGAGAUCGGAAUUCCUGGUGUAGCGGUGAAAUGCGCAGAUAUCAGGAGGAACACCGGUGGCGAAGGCGGAUCUCUGGGCCAGUACUGACACUGAGGAGCGAAAGCGUGGGUAGCAAACAGG